rnacentral:lncRNA from 1 species
ACCAUAAUAAAAAGGUCAGCCAAUAACAUAUCGUGUUGCCAGUGGAAAUUCUUUCUUUUUUAGAGUUAUAAUUUUAUAUUUAAUUUUUAAGUAAUAGCUUUAUGUACACAAUGAUAAAAUAAAUUAAGGUUGAUGUUAUCUGGUUCAAGGAAUGCUUUAGAAGAUGUUUUUUUUCAGAGUAAAAUUUAUCCUACCUUAGUACAAACAUUUGGUGGCAGUCUACUCCUA